rnacentral:rRNA from 1 species
UACGUAGGAUGCAAGCGUUGUCCGGAAUUAUUGGGCGUAAAGAGCGCGCAGGCGGUAUGACAAGUCAGAUGUGAAAGAGGCCGGCUUAACCGGCAAGGGUCAUUUGAAACUGUCAGACUAGAGUGCAGCAGAGGAUAGUGGAAUUCCCGGUGUAGUGGUGAAAUGCGUAGAUAUCGGGAGGAACACCAGCGGCGAAAGCGGCGACCUGGACAGGUACUGACACUCAACUACGAAAGCGUGGGGAGCAAACAGG